UGUGAACUCACGCAGCAGGUGCCACUCAUCCUGUUGGAUGGUCCUAGUCAGGUUCAGAGGGAUGUUCCUCAGUCUGAUUGGCUGGGAGAAGUGAUACUUGACAGCUGUGCAGCGAUCUGCGAUACCUGCAGACACAGUACAAAGCUGAGCGUCUGGGCUGGAGCGGCUCUCUGCUGCUCCAAACUGAGGCUGCGCUGAUCGCUGAUUACGGGAGGAAACAGACUGACUAUAGAUAUGUACUUUAUAUGACCCCACUUCAAAAAACACAAACUAUCCCUUUAAAAGUAAGGUAGGCUAGAGCUGGCACGUUUAAUGAUUUAUAGGCAGACAUUAAAAUCUUAAAAUCAAACCUAAAACAUAAAGGAAGCCAGUGAAGGGAGGCCAAUCCUGCUGAGAUGUGCUCUUGCGUGUAUGUUCCAGUUAAAAAGUGAGCUGCAGCAUUUUGCACCAACUGCAAGUGAGAGAGGGAAGCCCGGCUAACAUCAACUUAAAGGGCCUUACACUAGUUAAGUCUGGAAGUGAUAAAAGCAUGUAUAAGCCUUUCCAAGUCACGGAAUGAUAAAAAUUUCUUGACCUAAGAUAAAAGCCUCGGCUGGAAAAAGAUAGAUUUGACCGCUGAGUUAAUCGGUUCAACCAGUUUAAAAUCACUGUCCAUUAUCACACCCAGGUGUUUCUCAGUAGGUCUUUCAUUUGGUUCCAGGGAACACAGGUGCAUAUGAGGGGAAUCAGAGGCACCACUAGGUCCUAAAAUCAGGACUUCAGUUUUAUUCUCAUUAAAGUGUAGAAAGUUUAAGGCCAUCCAAGCUCUGAUGUGUGCAAGACAAUCAAAUAAUAACUUGAAAGAGUUUGCAUCCUUCCGUUUCCAAGGCAGAUAUAUUUGAGUGUCAUCUGCAUAACAGUGAAACUAGAUGCCAUAUUUUCUGAAGAUGGACCCCAGGGGAAGAAGGUAGAGGGAAAACAUGAUGGGUCAGAGAAUAGAUCCCUGAGGACUCCACAAGGGAGGUGCUGAGGAAGACACAGAGUCACCAAAGUUAACAGAAAAGCUUCUAUCAGACAGGUCAGACCUGAACCAUUCCAGACCAGUGCCUUAACGCCAACACACUGUUCUAGGCGAGACAUGAGGAUCCUAUGGUCUACUGUGUUGCAUGCAGCCAUAAGAUCAAAAUGUAUGAGAAUGGCAGAAAGGCCUGAGUCAGCAGUUAAUAAAUGAUCAUUUGCAGAGGAAUAUUAAACUCAGAAAAAUAUAGCGGUACUUAUAAUUAUUACAAUUAAACCGACAGUUUGGCAGUUGUUGCCCACAUACAGAUGUUGACACAACUACUAGGCUACUUCAAUAUAUUCUACUUUAUAUGGUAUGCAAUUCAAUUAAUGUGAGUCAGACAUUAUGAGGUUCCAUACCUUAAUGUGAGGAAAUUUUUUCUUUGACCUCUUUGAAUUUUAAUUGAAUACCCCAAGCUUAAAGUAUAACUUUGUUAUAUUUAAACCUACAUAAUAGGUCAGUAGAUAAAUAACAAGCAAACAUUAAAUGGUUUGCAGCUCAGUUACUCAGUUACUAGUGACAAGCGCUAGCAUAAUGCAGCUACUCUAUGGUACCCAACACGGCAGCGACAACAACAGACAUCGUCAGAAGUCACAUGACUGCAAGACAUCUGUAGGUUACAGUGUGUCUGUUAAUAAAUGCUGCAGCUUCUCAAGACCAAGUGAAGUCUCCCUGGAAGGAAAUAAAAUCUCCCCUGCGCUUCCUGACUGUGGUCUGGAGCUCUAGAAAUAAUACACAGUUGUCUGUCACUGAUGUCUAACAUAAUGCAAUAACUUGAAAUUUAAUUUCCAGAAUUAAAAUGAAGAAGACGACAGAGAAAGAAUGAGGUGACAGACUAUAAAAGGCUAUUUUAACAUCUCUAGACUCUGAUAGUAAUUCAAUAUAGGAAUGUUUAAAACAC